rnacentral:tRNA from 1 species
CAUUGAGAAGCUAAUAUAAGCAUUAACCUUUUAAGUUAAAGAC